GUGUAUUUUGUUGUUAGAGUGAAAUGUUAUAUCAAGUUAUGCUGUUGGGUGUUUGCAACUGUGCGUUUCUGGCAGAGCAUUCCGGCAGCGCAUGGGUUAAGCACAAACCAGCUUGAUUGAUUGCCCACAGGACCAAUAGGUCAGGGCUUCCAUUUGAACUGUCAGACCGGAACUUUCAUCAUGAACUGAGGAAUGCAGGAGGUGCCUGCUUCUACUGAUAACAGCCUAGGUGAGCGGAGAAGACACGCCAUGUGUCUGGAGAGUUAUGGCUUGAGUAAAUUAAAGUAAUUAGACCUGCUGGGAUCAGCAGUAAAACAACGACUGAGCUGUCGUUUUGUUGGUGCCACUUUUGCUGCUGCAUCAAGUGGUCCUUCGGGUGAGCAGAGAGAACUGGCUCAUCAAAACAGUCAGGGCGACGGAUGAUCGAUUUAACUCCCUAUCCCAGCAUCCCUUGACAGUAUCAACCUGACUUGUAUACAUUUUUCCAGAUGUAUCCAUGUCUUUUAAGCCCAACCUGAUGCAAAAUAGGAAUCGACAGAUCUCCAAUCCUUCUCAGUGUGAAGUGGAAGGUGAUGAAAAGAUCCCCGCCCACUCGCCACCUUGGAUAUCAUCCAAAGAAAAAGGUUUGCAAUACUCAGGACCACAACAUCUUGAUGUCCAAAGAGAAGCUUCAUCACUUCCAAGAUCCCAGUAGAUAAACAAGUUCUGGACCUAUGUCGGAUGGGCAGUACUUAUUCAUGAAUGCCAUAAACAUAUGUAUGUAUUAUUCUCAUUUGGAUGUACAAGUAUAUCUCAGCAAAACAGAUAUGUUGCAGCACAUUUUAACAGAAAAUUAGAUACUAGAGGCAGAAAAAAGUAGAUUAGUAAUAGAUUCCUGCACCAUAAAAAGACGAGCAGUUCACCAUGUUUUUAGCAUUUUUUUUAAUUAUAAAGCUAACAAUAUGCACACUUGAAAUGAAAUAAACAGGUCAGGAAAGUAUGACAUUCUGAACCUACUA